CGGAACAUGUCCAGUAGUGGGGGAUAGCCCGGCGAAAGCCGGAUUAAUACCGCAUACGAUCCAUGGAUGAAAGCGGGGGACCUUCGGGCCUCGCGCUAUUGGGGUGGCCGAUGGCGGAUUAGCUAGUUGGUGGGGUAAAGGCCUACCAAGGCGACGAUCCGUAGCUGGUCUGAGAGGACGACCAGCCACACUGGGACUGAGACACGGCCCAGACUCCUACGGGAGGCAGCAGUGGGGAAUUUUGGACAAUGGGCGAAAGCCUGAUCCAGCAAUGCCGCGUGUGUGAAGAAGGCCUUCGGGUUGUAAAGCACUUUUGUCCGGAAAGAAAUCCUUCGAGAUAAUACCUUGAGGGGAUGACGGUACCGGAAGAAUAAGCACCGGCUAACUACGUGCCAGCAGCCGCGGUAAUACGUAGGGUGCGAGCGUUAAUCGGAAUUACUGGGCGUAAAGCGUGCGCAGGCGGUGAUGUAAGACCGAUGUGAAAUCCCCGGGCUUAACCUGGGAACUGCAUUGGUGACUGCAUCGCUGGAGUAUGGCAGAGGGGGGUAGAAUUCCACGUGUAGCAGUGAAAUGCGUAGAGAUGUGGAGGAAUACCGAUGGCGAAGGCAGCCCCCUGGGCCAAUACUGACGCUCAUGC
rnacentral:rRNA from 1 species